GGGUGAGUAACACGUGGGCAACCUGCCUGUAAGACUGGGAUAACUUCGGGAAACCGGAGCUAAUACCGGAUAAUUCAUUUCCUCUCAUGAGGAAAUGCUGAAAGACGGUUUCGGCUGUCACUUACAGAUGGGCCCGCGGCGCAUUAGCUAGUUGGUGAGGUAACGGCUCACCAAGGCGACGAUGCGUAGCCGACCUGAGAGGGUGAUCGGCCACACUGGGACUGAGACACGGCCCAGACUCCUACGGGAGGCAGCAGUAGGGAAUCUUCCACAAUGGACGAAAGUCUGAUGGAGCAACGCCGCGUGAGCGAUGAAGGCCUUCGGGUCGUAAAGCUCUGUUGUUAGGGAAGAACAAGUACCGGAGUAACUGCCGGUACCUUGACGGUACCUAACCAGAAAGCCACGGCUAACUACGUGCCAGCAGCCGCGGUAAUACGUAGGUGGCAAGCGUUGUCCGGAAUUAUUGGGCGUAAAGCGCGCGCAGGCGGUCCUUUAAGUCUGAUGUGAAAGCCCACGGCUCAACCGUGGAGGGUCAUUGGAAACUGGGGGACUUGAGUGCAGAAGAGGAAAGCGAUUCCACGUGUAGCGGUGAAAUGCGUAGAGAUGUGAGACMCCAGUGCGACGGCGCUUUCUGGUCUGUAACUGACSCUGAGGCSCGAAGCGUGGGGAGCAACAGAUAGAUACCCUGUAGUCCACGCCGUAACGAUGAUGCUAUGUAGGGGCUCGCCUAGUGCUGCAGCUACGCAUAGC
rnacentral:rRNA from 2 species